UACGUAGGGUGCAAGCGUUGUCCGGAAUUAUUGGGCGUAAAGAGCUCGUAGGCGGUUUGUCGCGUCUGCUGUGAAAACUGGAGGCUCAACCUCCAGCCUGCAGUGGGUACGGGCAGACUAGAGUGCGGUAGGGGAGACUGGAAUUCCUGGUGUAGCGGUGAAAUGCGUAGAUAUCAGGAGGAAUACCGGUGGCGAAAGCGACUCUCUGGACGGCAACUGACGCUGAGGCACGAAAGCGUGGGGAGCAAACAGG
rnacentral:rRNA from 1 species